GGGGGUGUACUGGCUUCGACGCCGGUGAUGAAACUCUGUGGAGCAUGCCGAGAGUGAGAUGCCUCUCGUAAAUAAAAAUCUCAAUUGCUUAACCGCAAACGACGACACUUACGCACUCGCCGCCUAACGGCGAAGCACUGAACCUGAAUGUCUGUGGUCGGGGAAUGUGCGCGUACGCUACACAGGCUCGCUUUAUGUUUCGCCUCGCGACACAAAGCUAAAACCUAGAGGAUCGCUUGUUGCGCCCUGCCUGUCGGGUAGCAACCGGCUAGAUUAAUUGAUAAGGCUAAGCAUGUAGAACCAGGGGCGUAGUGCCGUCGGACGGGGGUUCAACUCCCCCCACCUCCACCA
rnacentral:tmRNA from 1 species